UGUAUAUGCUGUAUGUUGCCAAUUUGACAAUAAAUUAUAUUAAAAAAAAAAAAAAAAAGAAAGCUCCACACUGAGAUAUACUGUGGCAAAUUUAUAAACUUCAAGGUUAUAAAAAGAGUUCUUGUAUCCAGGUAGAAAAAAUAAAUCAUUAUCGGGGGAAAAAAUAAGUAAAGGGGUGCCUGGGUGGGUCAGUUGGUUUCAGCUCAUGGUUUUGUGAGUUCAAGCCCUGCGUAGGGCUCUGUGCGGGCAGCACGGAGCCUGGAGCCUGCUUGGGAUUCUCGGUCUCCCUCUCUCUCUGCCCCUCUCUGAUUCACACUCUGUCUCUCUCAAAAUAAAUAAAUAAACCUAAAAACAAUUUUUUUUAAAUAAGUAAAAAUGCACCGCAAUUUUCAGUUUUAGAAUAUUCAUAAAUUAUCACAGUAAUUAAAGAAAUCCCAUUUACUAAGCUCUUGCUAUGUGCCAAGCAGAGAAUACCAUCUACAUUAUCUCACUUACAUUCCAGACAACAGAUAGGUGCUAUUAUCCUCAUUCUACAGGGGACAAACCGAAGUUCACUGUUAGAGGUGGUGGAAUCAGCAUUCAAUUGAGGACCAACUCCUUUCAGGGUGUCACAGCUCUUUUAGAAGAAAGCUUUGGGUAAAUCCUUCUUAGAAGCAGAGAAACAGCAGAGGUUUCCCUAAUGCGUCUGGAACACACCAAAUGUUCCCUGGAAGUCUAAUGGUUUUCUAGAACAUGGAACAUAUCAGUCUAUUUCUUCUUCUGGUUUAGACAGGAGACACCACUGGGGGUGGGGGGGUUCUUGUUUAGGAGUGAUGGCUGGUUGGACUGGGGUGGCUACUUAAUCUAAAGCAGCCAGUGAACUGCCUGUCCAGCUACUAAAGAGCCUCUCUUUCUCUUGAGCAUUUAAACUGAAAAAAAUGAGAGGAUGUAGUCAUGUAGUCAAUAACAAAUGCUGGAAAUAAAAGAUUUUGAUGCCAGGGAAGGGAUUGGGCAUAUUUUAACUGUGUGCAAGAUGAACGAGCAGCAUAGGUAGACUGAAAGAGAAAGAAAGAGCCAGACAUAAAAGCAGAAGCUGAGAUGAUGUGGCCCUAAGUCAAACAGAGGGUCCUUGGUUUCUGGCACAUGAACUGCUUUGGAAUGUACGAGAGGUCUCCUGUUACAAUCUUAGAAUUCUCCCAUUCCCUUUUCACCUGAGUUAGUCUGAGUGGCUUCUGUUCUUUGUCAACAAAAGAGCCUUAUCUAGAACAGUUAGACAUGACAGACAUUUAAAGUUAUCAUCAGGGGCGCCUGGGUGGCUCAGUCGGUUGAGCGUCCGACUUAGGCUCAGGUCAUGAUCUCGUAGUUUGUGAGUUCGAGCCCCACGUCGGGCUCUGUGCUGACAGCUCAGAGCCUGGAGCCUGUUUCAGAAUCUUUGUCCCCCUCUCUCUCCAUCCCACCCCUGCUUGUGCUCUGUCUCUGUCUUUCAAAGAUGAAUAAACAUAAACAAAAAUUAAAAAAAAAUAAAGUUAUCAUCAGAUUUAUUUCCAGUAUCGUUUAGCAUACAUCACCCCCUACUUGCUGCCCUCUGAGAGAAUGAGCUGUCAACUUUAAUUGUACCCAAGAGAUAGACUAGUCCAUGGUCUGUUCCUAAAGUCUCCACUGCUUUCCUGCCUUCCUCCUUUCUUUCUGCCCAAUCCCAGAGUCUCCAUACAUCUGAAUCCUGUCCUUUCAAAUUCCAGUUGAUAAGUAUCAUCUUGAUAAAGAUUUUGCUGCCCAAUCUAGGCUUCCAUGAUUCCUGUUCUUUCUCCUAACCUGUCUAAUUUCAUGACAGGAUUAUUGAUUCCUUUCACAUAAUGCUUGCUAUGCACCAUCUUGAAUUGUUUGCUAGCUUUCCGUGGGUAUGUCUUUUCUACCUGACUUUCUAAUAAAUGUCCUGAGGUUAGAACAUCUUUUUCUCUUCUCUUCCUUCUGUGUCACUAAAAAUGUUCCAGGUCCCUUGUUCUGCAUGCCACUUACUUCAAAGCAGAGGCUCAGUGCAUACUUGCUAAUUAAUUGAUAAUAAUAUGUGUCUUGCAGGUGUGUCUCUUAUUUCCAACUUCUCAAAAAUGAGAGUAGAUUCACUUUUACAUACUUAGUAAAAUUCAUUCUUCCACAGACUGACAGAUUCACUCCUGAUACCAUGGGCCUCAAGACAAUUGCUUCCCGCUCCUGAAAACAUCUGUGCACCAUUUUUCCUCUGCAAACAUUGGAAAGGUCAAAACCAUUCUGUGGAAUGAGAGUAAUGUCUCAAAGAGAUUUUUGGCAAGUAGAAGUAGCCAGCUCCCACAUCCAGGUUGGAAACCUUUGCCCACAGAAAAGUAUGUCUUUUAUUCAAAUAUGGGCACUUUAUUUUUAGGGACCCAGCAUUUCAGCCUUCAUUUGAAAUUACCUAUUGAGGUCUGUAGGAGUUGUUGAACAACACUAUUUUCAACUCUCCUGAUGCACACUACCUGUGGCGGACUGAGGUGAAGAGAAAACUGAAGUAAUUAAACGGUCUCUAGGUAAUUGGCACAUCGUCAGCAUUUAAAUUAGAAUCCUAAUACCUAAUCAGAUUUGACAAGAGUAUUAAACAUUGGUUCUAUUUUCUCCUGAGAAUAACACCAGGGACUUUUCUGAAGAAAUGUGAGGCAAUUAUUAGCUGACUUGUAAAAUGACUAUAAUCCAGAGUCAUGGAAUCUUCUCUCUCUUUGAGCAUUUUUGCAAAUGGAGAACUUGCUGAUCCUUGGUGCCCAUCCAGCCAUUAUCUUUAAGUGUGUAACAGAUUACAGUUAUUCUUUCCUGUUCUUCUCUCCAGGCCAAAUAACUCCAAUGCUCUUUUCACUCCUUCUUAAUAUACUCCAGUCUUCUCUGGGCUCUAAUGUGGACUUGGGAGCAGGGCUUCCUAAUGGUGAUUCUACCAACUAGAUUUACGGUCUUGGACAAAUCACUUCAAUAUUCUCAUCCCUUAAAAGAAGAUCAUAACCACAACCUUCAAUGAUUCUGGCAAAAGUGAUUAAACUGCUGAGGAAGAGGUUUUAGGGGAAUAGGAUGUUCACAUAGUCUCAAAGAGUCUCCUUAUAGACUACUAUCUACCCACAAAGAGGAAAAUGUACCUUUAUGUUGGGGAGCUCCAAAAGUCACCCCUUUAACCAAGUGGUCAAAUCCAGAGUAAGCUUCUCUGAUAGUCCAAGUAGGCACAAGGUCUAGGGCCCAUGAUACUUGUAGGAGUUUAGAAAAGUGUUUUAAUUUCUUUUAAAAACCAGAAGAAAAAAAUGAAUACAAUGCAUCUUGGAUUAUAUUUAUCUUUAUGCUGAAAUAAUUAUAAAAUAGAAUUCUUAAUUUUUUUUUUUUUUUGCGGAGAAAGGGUCCUAUAAAGGUAAAAAUACCAAGGGCCCAUGAAAUUCAUAAUUUGGCCCUGAUUUAAUUUAGCAUCACCAAUAAUGGGACCAUCUGAGAUCAUGUGCCUCCUGAUAUAAUGCAAUGGGAUAAACACAACAUUGCCAAUGCAGUUGUCUUGCUCCAAAUUUUUAAUCUGAAUCUAUAUAUGAAGAAACAAUCAGACAAAUCCAAUUCUGGCACAUUCUACAAGAUAACUGGCUUAGAGUCAUCAAAACAGUCCACAUCAUUUUUUAGAAGACUAUAGGGGAGUUAUUGUUAUACCUCAAAGGAGAUUAAAGAGGUAUAAUAAGUAAUCCUUUUCACAAUAUAUACAUACAGCAAAUCAUUAUGUUAUGCCUCUUAAACUUAUACAAUGUUAUGUGUCAAUUAUAUCUCAACGACACCAGAAAAACAAAAUAUAACAACCCAAUGCAAUGUAUAUACCGUAAUUUUAUCCUGGAUUUUUUUUAAAAAGGUAAUAAAUUACAUUUUUUUGGAAAAUGUGGGAAAUAUGAUUACAUAUUAGAUUCUAUUAAUGAAUUAUUGUUAAUUUCAGUAGGUGUGAUAAUGGAAUUGGGGUUGUGCAGAAGAGUGUCCGUGUUCUUAGGAAACACACUGAAAUAGGAGUGAAAGGUCAGGAUAUUUGUACCUUACUUUCCAGAAUUCAACAAAAUAAAACAAAACAAACAAAUAUGUGUACGUCUCACACUGGAGAGCAAGAACAAUGUCUAGGGAAUGCUAAUUGAAUGUGGGUGGGUAUUAUACAGAAGUUCAUAAACAAGGGAGAAAACAUGCUAAAAUACAGAAUUUUAAAAAAGAUAAAAGAGUAAAAUAACAAUUUUAAAACAACGUGUUAUAUAUUUUAUUGACUAUAAGCCCUUUUGUCAUCAGAAAAACUUUAUUAUAAUUAUAAUGUGACUGAAUGUGUCAUGUCUGAUUAGUGCCUAUACUAGGAAUGAGGGAAUUGUCUUUUUUGUUAUAUUCAUAUUGUUCUCUUGGGCUUGCAAUUUUAGUAUCAUCUAUAAUCUGUGGGGUUUUGUUUUGCUCUGUUUUGUUCUGUAGGAAUAUUUUUAGGUCACUUGUCCAUUUGGGGAGGUUAGUUUAAUUAAAACUAGAUCAUACAAAAAAACAAAACAAAACAAAAUACACAGCAAUCUGCCAAACCUCUCCGAAACCUGAAAGUGCAGGGAAGAAUAGGGUGCCAUUGUUGAGCCUUCUAUAUGGUGGGACCUGUUCUCCUGCCACCCGAGCUGCACGUGAUAAGGGAUCCUCGAUGUGGACUCGGGGAGAGAGUGAGCCUCAGUUUGGACACUACAUAUUACCAAUAUUUAGUUCAUCUUUUCUUUUAAAUAAAAAAUCAAUAUAAAUAUAAGUUUUGAAGCUUUCCUCCUUACCUGUUAGAUCACGUUGCACCUCUCCUAGAGGGCAUGAACCCCACUUUGUGGUCCGUUAUCCAAUAAGAUACUUUCCGGAAAAUUUAGCAAAUGUUUCAGGGAGUUUUCUAAGAGUCAGCAGCUGAGACUUCUCUCCUUGCCCUGGGAGGAAGCGAGCUUUAAACUCAGGCGAAGGCAGAGGGUCAUGAUCCAUAUUAUAAAGUGUAGUCAUACUUUUUCUUUUUCUCAUUUUCUUCAGAGAAAGAUCAAGACACAGAUCGUGGAUCCACACAGGUCCAUCUCUGAGUAAAGCCCUGAAGUUUGUGAACUGCAAUUCCCCCUCUAUUGUGUUCUUUCCCUGUAGGCACAUAUGGUUUCCCUGAGAGCAAACCCUGCUUUGGGGAGGGGCGUGCAUAGCAGUCAUUCCCUCUGUAGUUUGGCUUGACGUCAAUGCGAUCACUUUCCCCGCAUGGAAAGUCCGACCUCUGAUUGUAGAAAGAAGGAUCUCUUUUGUUUAUUCCAAUAAACAAGUUUUGUUUAUUCCUCCAGCAGAUGGAGGAGCCACUGGAGGGGCAAGGGCUGCAGGCAGCCACACUUCUAUUUACUUCUUCAAAGACUUACUUUGCAACUACCAUGUGGGAAGUUCUUUCUUGCAACAGAUUGAAGAGGAAGAGUAUUGUGUACCUGGGUUUCAAUUAGAUUGAUUCUGUUAACAACAACAGUAGCUAAAACUUGUGGGAGACUUACUAUGGAUCAGAUGAAGAAACUGAGGCAAAGUAACUUUUCCAAGGCCAUUAGUGCCAAGCAUUGGAGACAAGAUUUGAGCCCAUGCAGGCUUCUUCCUAUCAUGAUGAUCCUGUGGUUGACCAGGCAGCCUGGGCUUUCUGGUGUAGAGGAGGAAAAAUAAUUUUCUCUCUGCUGUUCUAGGUUCUUGGCCGAGACCCACCCACUCCCCCAUAACAAAAGACAAUUUAAUAGGAGAAAAACAAAUAGAAGUUUAAUAUCCUAUAUACUUCCUAUACCCAUAGGAGAGGCCCAGGGAAAUGGAGUAACUCCCCCAAAUGACCCAAGCCUCCAUCUUAAAUACCAUUUCCAGUUAAAGGCAAAGGAAGAUGGGGGGACAGGUAUGGGAGGUUAACCAGGAAAAGUAUAGUAAACAAGAGUAAGAUUGUCAUGCAGAUCUAAAUCUUGGCCUUCUCCAUAGGAGAUAGGAGCUCCUAGAGAUUUAGAGUCAUCCUCUCCCUGGUACAAAGACAGAGACACCCUUACAGAUGGAGAUUUCCCUUAUAAAUGGAAAUGUCUCUUACCAAAAGGAUAACUUUGAUUAGGGUUUUCAGAGCUUGUCCUGUGCCUGCUGUUUCUUAAAUAAUCUGCCUAAAAUAAUCCUCAUGCCAAAGAGGCACAUUUUGGGGUAGCAAAUUCUGCUCCUUUUUGCUGGCAUUGAAAUUAAGGGAGAAAAGCAAAGAAAUGAUUAGAAUGUCUGUUCCCUACCUACUGCGUCCAUGGUGAAAGCACCGUGUUUCCAGACAGGCACAAAAGUCCUUUCUUCCUUGAGUCUGUUACACUGAAUCUCGGGACUCUUUCACUGCCGUAUGCACACCCUGACAUUCCCUGUGGCCUGCGCCUAGAGUGAGGUCCGAGCUCUCUCAUAAACUCAGAGACCUCAGGGCCUAAAGAGGCCAUCCGAAUGAGACUUUGGGACCAAGCUGAAAACGGCGUCAGGGAAGCUCUACAAUCCAGAGGCUGGCACUAGGCUGGGGAAGAGGCGCUGUCGUGGGAAAGGUUCGGAAGGGCAGGUGGAGAAACUGAGGCACAAAAAGUGAAGUCACCCGAGGCGACACAGCUACCAAGUGACCGAGCCAGGGUUUGAACAGAGGUCCUGAGUCCAGAUCUUAAACUAUGAGAUUUUCAGAUCUCUGUUUACUUCAUCUGUGAAAUGGAACUAAUGAUAUCAACCUUGCUCACUGUAAGGACGGGCUAAAUGAGGUGUUUCAAAAGCACUUUGAAAACCAGAAGCACUAUCUAAAUGAAAGGCUACUGCAUUUCAUGAAAAGAAAGGACUGUCCACUGAUUAUCAACUGGUUGAGAUUUCAACAUCCUCUCAGCAACCUUAUGAACUUUAAAUAACAGUCAUGCUAAUUACAUUCACUCUUUUGACUAGGAAUUCUAACAUUUCAAAAAGAAGCCAACACAUUAUUUCAUUUCACCAUUUCAAAAGUUACAAUAGUCCUAUAUGAUAUCUUAAAAGUAAAUACCCUUAUCCCCAUUUUACAGAUCAGAAAACUGAGACCUAUAGAGUGAUUUGCCCAAAGUCACACAGUUGACAAUUAGAAGAGCCAGGGCUCAAACUCAGACAUCUUUCCAAAUUUUUUUUUUUAAUGUUUAUUUUAUUUUGAGAGAGAGACAGAGUGUGAGUGGGGGGAGGGCAGAGAGAGAGGGAGACACAGAAUCCAAAGCAGACUCCAGGCUCUGAGCUGUCAGUGCAGAGUCCAAUGCAGGGCUCGAACUCACAAACCGUGAGAUCAUGACCGGAGCUGAAGUCAGAAGCUUACUGACUGAGCCACGCAGGUGCCCCUCAGACAUCUUUUCAAAUUCAAUGCUUUUGAAUUUGUCUUCACUAUGAACAGUGCUCCACUAAAUGUGACCUUCAAAAAUUAAUAAAAGAGAAAAAAAAUACAAUGAAAGAAGGAAGGGAGGGAGGGAGGGAGGACAGUUGCUGUUUAAUAGGUAGGGAGUUCCAGAUUGGGAAGAUGAAACAAAUUCUGGGGAUGGAUGGUGGUGUAGGUCACACUACCAUGUGAAUGUACUUAAUGUCACAGAACUGUACACUUCAAAAUGAUCAAAGUAGUAAAUUUUAUGUAUAUUUUUCCACAACAAGCAGAAGGAAGGAAGGCAAAAGGAGGGGGGAGGGAUGGAAGGAGGGAAGAAAAAUUUGUAAGUUUGUCACCAUGCAACUUUGGGGGCAUCUUAAGAAUCAACUGAAAAAGUUUGCUUUGAGUCAGCAAAGAUAUCAUCAAGGAAGGUGGUCUAGACAGUUCAUUUGAAUGACUUUUUUCAGUUAAACAUUUUAGUAGAAAAGUGCUAACAGCCUUUUCCCAAGAGAUCUCUUAUGGCCCAAACACUUCCUAUUUCUCUAACCAUUUCAAGCCCAGAAGAGUUGCUGGAGGUACUGAGGAGAUGAUUCUCCCUGAGCACAAUUCCCCUUUUGAAUACUUUUAAAGGGACUUGCUUAACAUGAAGUCACUUGCUUACAUGAAAAGACUUUAGAGGAGGCAGCACCAGGCGCGACGGUGAAACAUUCAGAGGAGGUAGGGAGAAGAACAGAGCCUGGUCACAUCUUUACUCCCCCGUGAGCAGCGGGAAGCCUCUGCCCCCAUGCCCACUAUCCAUGUGAGCUGGAAUCCAGCUCAGCCUUGAUUUUAAACUCUCUCAUUUUCUUCAUUUACACAACUGUUAGUAUCACAGAGGACCCAGGGCACACUGGAAAAGACACAUAUCUUAAAGAUAUGUGGUUGGUUUGACCACAUAUCUUGAUCAAUUUUUGAUCUGAAAGCAAAUGUGCAUGAUAUGACAAUGCCUCAUACUUUAAAGCACCACACAGCUGUCUGAUUCUUAUCAUAUUGUCUUGAUUAAAUCCCCUUGGAAAUCUGUCCUGGCUGACUGGACAGGGGUCAUGGAUUCCCCUAGGUCCUACUUUGAUAUUGUAAUAGUGACGUAAUGGGACAGAGGGUAGCUGUACUUGUGGUGAACACAGCAUAAUGUUUAAACUUGUCAAAUCAGUAAGCUGUACACCUGAAACUAAGGUAACAUUGUGUGCCAACUCUACUCAAGUAAAAAAAAAUAGUAAACACCCACUGCUGAGUGACUGCCUCAGCAAACACCCACACACUUCUACGUCAGGGACAGCAAACUAAGGAUCUACUGCCCACAUCUGUCCCUCUGCUUGCUUGUUUUCAUACGGUCCAUGAGCUAAGCAUACUUUUUACAUUUUAUUUAUAAAGUUUAUUUAUUUAUUUUGUUAGAGCAAGAGAGCACGUGAGCAGGGGAGGAGCAGAGGCGGGGGGGGGGGGGAGAGAGAGAGAGAGAGAGAGAGAGAGAGAGAGAGAACCCCAAGCGGGCUCUGCCCUGUCAGUGCAGAGCCCAAUGCAGGGCUUGAUCUCAUGAACUGUGAGAUCCUGACCCCAGCCGAAACCAAGAUUUGGACACUUAACUGACUGAGCCACCCAGGCGCCCUAGUUUUUAUAUUUUAAAUGGUUGGGAAAAAAAUCAAAAGAAAAAUCAGGAGUGCCUGAGUAGCUCAGUUGGUCGAGCAUCCCACUCUUGGUUUCGGCUCAGGUCAGGAUCUCACAGUUGGUGAUUUUGAGCCCCACAUCUGUGCUACCUGUGUGGAGCCUGCUUGAGAUUGUCUCUGCCCCUCUCUCUCUGCCCCUCCACCACCUGCUCUCUCUCUCUGUCUCUCUCUCUCUCAAAAUAAAUAAAUAAACUUGAAAAAGAAAGAAGAAUCACAUUUUGUGACAUGUGAAAAGUACAUGAAAUUCAAAUUUCAGUGUCAAUAAAUAGGUUUUUACUGGAACACAGCUAUGCCCAUUUACUUACAUAAUACCUAUGGCUGCUUUCAUGCUAUAAUGGCCGGUUGAGUGGUUCCAACAGAGACCUUAUGGCCCACAAAGCUGAAAAUAUUAUCUGGCCCUUGACAAAAAAUGUUUACCGGCACCUGGCCUAUGUGCACUGAAUGUGUGAACAUGGCUAGCAUUCUGUUGUUCUCUUGCCUGUUCAUACCAAAAUUGUUGGUUCCUUCUUUAAAUGGAGGAGAGAGCCUGUCUCCCAUUUCGCAUGGCACUCUGCCUGUUAGGCUUAUUAAUUUGUGAUAAUGAAGACAAUAGGCCACUGACCUUUGCUGUUGGUUUUCCAGUAUCAAACACUCAUUGUUUAGGAUGCUUAGUGACCUUAUCAGCAAGGUAAGUACGGAUUUAGUAUCUCAGGCUCUGCCUGACACUAUGGAUAUAAAAGUCCGUGACCAUUAAGGAUUUAAAAUUCUGGUUGGGGAAGCAGGCUAUACCCAGGUAAAGCCCUCAAAGAACAAUAGAAUGAUAUUUACCUAUUACAUUCCCCUUUGUGAGGCACUCUCAGAAUACACAAUGCUGGGUCAGUCUAUGAAGUGCUUUUAUCAUGGUCAGACAUAUGAGUACAUGUUUAAGGACGAAGCUGUUUUCUACAUAAUUAUGGAAUAGAAAACUUAGGAGUCAUCAAGUCCCAUUUCCUUCACAUAUGGAAGAGGAAACUAGUGCCCACAGAGGUCCCAUGGUUGGUUAGCUGAGAACCAAGACUAGAACCUGGGUCUCUGGAUCCCCAAGUUAGUUAUACUUGACUAUAGCACUUCAGAGUCUCAGGUCUUUUUAAAGCACCAGUAAAGGAUGCUUAAAACUAAAUAUUUACUACACUUCUCUUCAUCCCAUAUGACAUGUUUUCCCCAAACCAUCAUUUUAACCUUUAAUUUCACCUCUGCUGACAAGCUAGGAAAGAAAAGAUGCCAAAUUCUGAUUUUCCUGUUCUCCUGUGGUGUUGCCAAUCAUUUAACGUGGAAAGGGAAAAGAAAAUAAUGAAAUUCUUAAAAAUCUGUUUUGAUUGCCAUUUCUUUCGAAAGAAACAAGCGUUUCCCAUAUGCUCUCAUGGAGAAACAACCGUAAUUUUGUUUUUACAUCAAUUUUGUAUUGUUUUUUGUGUGUUUAACGUAUUUCUCAUAACAGAGGCCUGACCCUGGUAUGAAACUGCCUGAUAAUCAAACAAAACAACACAAAACAAACAAAGAACACCACCAAUGGGAAAAAAAGAAAUCGUGAAAAGCUUGAAGUUAACCUGUAGUUAUUCUAUUUAUAUGUACACAACAUAAAGAAAUAAGUGAGUCACAUGGACAUAUUAUUAUUGUCACAAUAAGUUCUUCUCACACUGGAAAUAAAUGUCUUUAUGUGCUGCACUUCGCAUUUUCUCCCUACCUCUUUCCUAUUACCACUGGCCAAUUGGUCUGCGUACAAUACCAAAAAAGAAAAAAAAAAAGAAGAAGAAAAGAAAAAAAGAAAGAAAAAGAAAAAGUAAUAAAGAAGUGAAGUUUAAAGAAAUGUACCUAGGAACAUUUUGGCUCUUGCCUUCCCACGAAAUUUUAGCUGUUCUCAAUCACUGCAUAACUAAAUGUUGGCUCUAGCUCCCACAUAUUGGGGCUAAGAGUCCUGGCUUGGUUGAAAGAUCCCAGAGGCUUUGAUGUCCCUACAAUAUUUGGCAGGGCCCACUGCUGCAGGCCUCAGCUGAGACUCCUCACUUACUCACUUUGAAGUUAGCCAGAGCUCACUUCUCUGAAUCUAAAUUGCUGAGUUAAUUUGAGGCUAUGAAUGCUGAUCCUACAGGUCUGGCUAGGGAGUUCUGUACUCUUCUUUAGAGGAACUGGGAUAUGGAGAGUUUUGAGGGCAGCAGACCAGGUCUUUAAGAGAGGUGGUAUGGGAUUUUCCACCUCUGAUAACAGCAGACUAGCUUGUUGCUGAGCAACUCUCCUAACAUAAAAGUUAGAAAAUCUCUUUGAAAACAUCAGAGAAAUACCAAGGCAGUAAGGAUUCAAGGGGCCAAAAUCCUGGAGAGGAGGGUAAAGGAAUGAAGCUAUUGUUCAGCAUCAUUUUCCCCUUAAAGCAUUUGUUAAGUUUCAAUCAGCAGCAGAGACAUAAAGCUGAGUGGAGCUUCCAGCAGUUUUAGAAGGAAGGAGGUCAAUAAAUGGAGUACAAGGGCCACCAAGGAGAGGAGGCCAGGUAAACACCCCAGGAUUUCAGUUCAGAUUCCCAAAGGGGUAGACCCCAGGAGGAGGGAUGAACCAAUUCUCACAAAGACCAAAGCUCAGCCUCCAAUCUGCACGGUCCCCAGUUGGGUCAGGUAUACUGCCACCUAACUGCCUGCAAGAAUCAAGAGCUAAUCUUUUCUGGAUGAUAAUAACAUCCAGAGCCUCAAAUUAUUUACAAUUCAUUAUAUACAAAAUCAGGUAGUCAAACAAAAUUGCCUCAUAUACCAGGAGGCAAAACAAGAUGGCCAAAACACAGGAGAAGAAAAUCAAUAAUAGAAACAGGCUUAUAGAGUUACCAGAGAGGGAUUUCAAAAUAUACUGGGACUAAUUCAAGAAAUUAAAAUGGAAAUUCUAGAAUUGCAAUAUACCCAAACUGAAGUUAAUAAUUAAAUGGAAGCUUCAGAAGCAGACUAGACACAGCUGAAGAGAGGAUUUGUGAGCUGAAAAUGGCCAGACUGAAGUACAGUGAGAAAAAAGGCUGGAAAAUAAGGAAAAAGGAGAAGGAAAUUUAUGGGACAUGGUGAGAUGGUGAAACGAAAAUGUGAUUAAAAUAGUUCCCAGUAGCUGAGGCCUGACCCUAGUAUGAAAUUUUCUGCCUCAAUAAAAGCAAAAACAACUAAAGGAGGAAGAAAACUUGAAAAGCUUGAAGUUAACCUACAGUAUCCUAUUUAUAUGAAGACAGCAUAAAAAAGGAGAGGAAAAAGAGAAUGAGACAGAAGCAAUAUUUGAAGUUGUAAUGGUUGAGAACUUUACAAAACUGGCUAAAACUUCAAGCCACAGAUUUAAGUAAAGCUAUGAAUCUCAAGCAGGAAAAAUACAAAGAAAACCACUUAAGUGCAUCACAGCAAUGCUGCUGAAAACCAAAGAUACGGGAAAAAAUCUUAAAAUCAGUCAAAGAAAAAUCAAUAAUUUUGAAAAGCAACAACAAAACUGACAUCUGUCAUCACAGUAGAAAUCAGAAUACAAUAAAUGGCAACUUCAAAGUGUGAAAGAGAACUGCCGGCUUAGAAUUCUAUGCCCAGUGAAAAUAUCCUCCCCAGAUUACAUCAAAUAAAGGCAUUUUCACACACAAAAAUAGAAAAUGUAUCCCCAUUAGACUUAACACUGAGUGAAACAUUGAAAGGCAUUCUUUGGACCGAAGUAAAAUGAUCUCAGAUGAAGUCACAGAGAUGCAGGAAGAAAUAGCAACAGAAAAGGUAAAUAUAGGAAUAAAUUUAAAUUUAAAGAUAAAUAUGUGAGUAAAUGUAAAAAAACUAACAAAAAGUAUGUAAAACAGCAAACAUAAUGAGUUAUGGGUUUUAAAAUACAAAGAGAAUUAAAAUAUAAAAUAGAAAUAGUCCCUCCCCCCCCCCAAAAAGGCAGGAGGGAAUUAAAAUAAAGUGUCCCUAGGUUGCGAUCACUGAAUUCUCCAGGAAGUGGGAAAGUACUAAUUUAUAGCAAAUUCGAAUAAGUCAAGGAUACAUGUUGUAUACUGUAGGGUAGCUCCUAAAAGAAUGCUAAGAAGAGUUUAUAUAAUUCAACUUAUGGGGAGGGGUAGAAUAAUUAAAAUAUUUCAUUAAUUUAAAAGAAGGCAAGAGGGAAAAAGGAUAAUGAAACAGGUGAGACCAAUAAAAAACAAAUAACAAGGUAGAUUUAAAUCCUGAUAUAUCAGCAAAGUCAAAUUUAUCAGAGUGUCUGUGUUCAUAGAACAGAAACCUGUAGUCAAAUUACAAAGAGCAAAGACAUUUGUUUAAAGUCACACAUGUUAUGCAUACCCACAAAAUACCAACAUGGAUGAAGAAAAUUUAAAACAUAAUACAAAGGCAUUCAUGGCAAAUAGGUUAAUGGGGAUCAUCAAUUAAAUGAGUAUAUAAGAUUACUCAAGGCACAAAACUUUAAAUACUGUGAAACUGUAUGGCCCAUAUAGGAAAGAAAUUUGAUACUGACUUUCUCAAAUAGUUUUAAACAUUUUAUAAUAAUCUAAACAUACAUGACAUAACCAGUAAUGAGUUA